GCGAGCGUGGCGAAAUUGGCAGACGCGCUGGAUUUAGGUUCCAGUGUCUUCGGACGUGGGGGUUCAAGUCCCCCCGCUCGCA
rnacentral:tRNA from 1 species